UUGUAUAAGUUAAUCAGGAUGAGUAGGUUCUAGUAAUCUGGUAGAGAGUUUCCGGUUGGUGAAAGGAAAUAGGUUACGGUACCGAAUAUGGUCUUGAGGUUGUUAACUUGUAAAUAAGUAACUCAAGGGAGUUAUGAAUUUGCAAUGGUCGUGCCCAUUAUCGCGCGGGAGUCAGUAGACUCGUUGAGUUAGUAAUUACAAGAUUACUAAAAAGUUGGGUGGUACCACGCAAAGCAAAGCUUUUCGUCCCGAAU
rnacentral:ncRNA from 1 species